GACGAACCACCCGAACGUUAUUCGGAAUCACUGGGCUUAAAGGGUGCGUAGGCGGCGCGGAGGGUGGGAUGUGAAAUCCCCCGGCUUAACCGGGGAAUUGCGUCCCAAACCGCCGUGCUCGAGGAAGAUAGAGGUGAGCGGAACAGAUGGUGGAGCGGUGAAAUGCGUUGAUAUCAUCUGGAACACCUGUGGCGAAAGCGGCUCACUGGGUCUUCUCUGACGCUGAGGCACGAAAGCUAGGGUAGCGAACGGG
rnacentral:rRNA from 1 species